rnacentral:rRNA from 1 species
AUGUUCAUUCGCCCACCAUCGUCUCUACAGGACACACCGGAACUCCCUGAGGACACCAAAGGACUCCCCAUGAACCUCCUUGUCUUCCAGCAUCUUCAUCGAUCACCUAUGGCCAUUAGGAGUAACAUCAUCGCCGAUCAGGCCCAUCGUCGUCUCCUCUGUUCUGAGGCGGGAGACGUGUUCGUGAUCGAGGAACCCGUUGAGUACAUUUACGAGGAUCAAGCUUUCGUCAACUCGGAGAACUUUACAGUUGCAGGUGCCGAUGAUAAUCAUGCAGGUGACGCAACCCAGCUCAAGGUGGAGCACGAUGAAGAUCUUGUUCGUUGUGUUGUUUCGUUUCUAGUUGAUCAGUAG